GAUGAAGAACGCAGCGAAAUGCGAUAAGUAAUGUGAAUUGCAGAAUUCAGUGAAUCAUCGAAUCUUUGAACGCACAUUGCGCCCGCCAGUAUUCUGGCGGGCAUGCCUGUUCGAGCGUCAUUUCAACCAUCAAGCCCCCGGGCUUGUGUUGGGGUCCUGCGGCUGCCGCAGGCCCUGAAAAGCAGUGGCGGGCUCGCUGUCACACCGAGCGUAGUAGAUUUUAUCUCGCUCAGGGCGUGCUGCGGGUUCCGGCCGUUAAACCACCUUCAUAACCCAAGGUUGACCUCGGAUCAGGUAGGAAGACCCGCUGAACUUAAGCAUAUCAAAAGCGGAGA
rnacentral:misc_RNA from 1 species